rnacentral:lncRNA from 1 species
UCAAGGGUUGUCCAUUUAAUUGUUGGAACUUCAGGUUCUCAACACUGUUAAAUUUUGAACUUCAGGCCAAAGCCACAUAUUCUCAUGGUAUGGACAUUUUUACAAUUUUCUGUACAUAUUUCGGGAUUUCAAGCCCUUACAUAAUUGUCCAUAUUUUGAGGAACUUCUGGCAUCUCAUUUAAUUGCACAUCCAUGAGUUUAAGGGACUGCAGGUUCCCUUUUGUAUAUAGUGACGGUUUACCCAAAAUGGUUAAUAUUUAUGCAUACGUCACUAUUCAUGUGAAUAGUACUAUUCAUCAAGUCAUGAAUACAUAUCUAUUCAUCUGCCAGUACAGUUAUCAUCAAUGUGUACGGCACCAUGAACCAAUACGGUACUGUUACAUCAUUAAGGAACUCUAGGUCUUUAUUUACAUGUCGGGAUCAAGGACCUUUAAGUCCAAUCACAUGUUUACAAAUACAGUACCGGAGAGACUGCCAGCUCUCAUAUCAUCAUCAAGGAUCUUCAAGUCCUGAUGUAAUUGUAUGAUGAGGAUCAAGGAACUUCUGGUCCUGAUCUGCAUACUGGAAAAACUCAUCAUACAGCACAAUUAAUCCAUAAAAUAAAUUGCUAAUAAAUAAAUUACUGGUAUGGACGAUAAACCCGCACCACACUUUAAAUAAAUGUAAAUGUGCGGUAAAUUAAAUUCAUAAAAUUAAGGUGCUUGUAUGGGCAUUAAUUCUGCUCCAUAUAUUUAAAUAAAAGUAAAGGCGUGGACGAUAAACCCGCACCACCCUUUUAAAUAAAUGUAAAUGUGCGGUAAAUUAAAUUCAUAAAUUAAAUUGCUUGCUGUAUGGACGUUAAUCCCGCACCAUACUUUAAAUAAAAUUAAAUGUGCGGUAAAGUAAAUUGUGCUUUUAUGGGCACUAAUUCUGCUCCAUACAUUUAAAUAAAAGCAAAGGCGUGGACGAUAAACCCGCACCACCCUUUUAAAUAAAUACUGUUGUAUGGGUAAUAAACCUACACCAUACAGUAAAUAAAUGUGGGGUUAAAACCACCACCGAAUAAAAUAAGAAAAAGGUUAGUAUUAGUAACGGUCUCCCACUGAUAAUAUGUUUAGUAUUACCAAGGGUCCAUUUUUGUUAGUGGUUAGUAGUAUAGAUAAUAGUGCAACACAAAAAUUAUACCUGAGAGCUUCUCGUGCUGAUAACGUGUUAUAAAAAUAACCUGGAAUAUGUAUGAAUAUUGAGCUGCACGUAAAGUAGAUGAGACACAGCAUUUAACGAGGUUCGGCUAUGCCUACGUCCUCGGAGAGCAGCAGCAGUAACUUUUUCACUAUAUAAAGUAAUAGGGCUACAACUUUAGAGUUUACAAUAUGUGAGGCUCACUGAAUUUUCUCUCUCUUUCCUCUUCUAUCUUUCCUCCUCUUUUUCCUCUUCUUUCCUCUUCUCCUUUUCCUUUCUUCUUUUCUCCUCUCUUUUCUCUUCUCCCCUUUCUUUCUUUUCUCCAUUG